GUGCUGCGCCCCGGUCUCCCUCUCUCUCUCAACCUCUUCACUCUGUGCACGCUCAACUUUUGACCCACACGCUCGCUCAACUUGCAACAGCGUUACAAAUGUGCCACAAAAUCAACCAAUCGGAGAAUUAAAGAAGGUCAAUUGUGAUUGGCUGUUGGUCUCCAAUUAAAUUGCUAGUAGAACUAUCUACAGCAUCGCGGAAAUUUACAGCAAGUUGUUGAAGUUUGAGGCAUUUAGGCAAAAUGCUAAUGGCCUGGAUUAAAACACUGGACAUUGGCUGUUGUGACCAACGACAGGAUUAAAACACAUUUUGCAAUCCAACGCUAGCAGCGGACCAUGUCAUCAGAACAGCACGACCUAAAUGUCACACCACGGCCACAUGACAUGCUGAGACAGCAGUUGAUGGAGAGACUUCUUACCAAACUGCAAUCUGCCAUAAACCAACAACCGCUAAAUUUGGAUUAUUUGGAGUUCCUGACACGCCAUGAGCUUAUUCUGUUUGAAUCGUUCUCUGAGCAGAUAGGCGGUGUAUCAGACAUUACAGAAGCACUACAAAACCUCUAUCAUGUUGUCCAGCAGGAAAUUAAUGCCAGCUCUAUGCCCAUUGUUGAACCGGAAACAGAGGUUGGUCCAGGUCGUGGUCACCCCAAAAUUGUAAUAGAGAGAGAAAAACUAAAGAAUAUGCUGGAUACACAUCUGUCAGUCUCAGAUCUACACAUCUGUCAGCAUUGCAAAAUGCCUGGGUGUUUCAAGGAGAACAAUUUACAGAAGAAUGCAAGAAUAUGGCUUAUCUGUAAGAGGAUCAUACAGCACAGUGACUGACCAAGAGCUUGACAACAUGAUUUCAGCCAUCAAAAGUCAGAUGCCAAAUGCCGGUUAUCGAAUGGUUCAAGGCCAUUUGGUGUCAAUGGGUCUCCGCAUUCAGUGGUGGAGAAUGAUGGCCUCUAUGCAUCGCGUUGAUGCUGCAGGGAUCUUCUUACGGCUCACAGAACUAGGUUGUGUUCUGCGAAGAAGUUUUUCUGUGCGAGGCCCUCUCUCCUUGGCCCACAUUGACACAAAUCACAAACUGAUCAGAUACAACAUUGUUCUCUUUGGAGGAGUGGACGGCUACUCAAGAAAGAUCUUGUACUUGGAUGCUGCAACAAAUAACAAAGCGCCAACUGCAUUCUCAUUCUUCCUGAGAUCAACCCAGCUUGUGUUGUCUGGGUUGCAGUCACUAGCAAGUACCAUGAUGUUCUUCACUCUCUGGAGGAAGAUGGUCUGCUUGAUAUCUCUGAUGUGGUUCAUCUCUUUGGCGUCCACUAUAUCUUUAUCCCUCGACUCCGAGCAGACCUUGAUACAUUCACUGGAGGAUGGAAUAAUCAUCCUCUACGGACAGAGGGAGGUCUCAGUCCUGAACAACUAUGGUUUAUGGGACAUGAACAAGCUCUAGACGAAGGGGAGAGUCUUGAGGAACUUCAAGAUCCAGGCAUUGAUUGGGAGAGUGCAAUGCUGCGAGUAGACUCUAACGGUACAGUUGUGGUUCCAGAAAUUGUAUGCCCACUGGAUGAUGAAGCCCUGGAAGAACUUCAGAGAACUCUUGAUCCUAUGGAACAUUCUCAGUCACAUGGUCGUGACACAAUACUUGCACGUUGUGUCCAACCAACAAUGACAUUUAAACAUGAACUUCUUAGCUGGUUACAAUUUUGAACUUGGCAAAAACAACCCAUUAAGUUUACUAACGGACAAGCAAAAAAAGGCACUUCAGGAGUGGCACCCUUUGGGAUGUAUUACUAACAGUAGCAAUAAUUGCUUUGAUUUGAGUAGACCUAGUUUUGUUAAACUCUGUGGAAUCCACCACCAUAUUUAACUGCUUCACUCAUGAUUCUUCUAAAGUCAGUGUAAGUGCUAAGAUGCUGUACUGGAAAAGUCACAGUCUGAGUGUAUGUACUUACAAAUGGGUAGCAAACUGAGUGAUCUCCUAGUCGCUCCCUGCAGUUGUCGUCAAAGUUACAUGUUCAUCUGUCAGAGAGGGCAACGCAUUCUCAUGAACGGGUUCGUAUGAAACUGUACCAAACUUAUGCACAACAAUUACCCGGCCAGUAGAGUCCACACAAUUAACCUGCAUACAUGUAGCAGAGAGCAGAGAGCAGAAGCCAACAGAGGAGAAAUCGGAGAGAACUAAAUCAAAGCCAUUGGAGGUUGGUGGUGUUGUUUCUCUAGCUGUCAUUGACUUUAUUGUUUCUCUAGCUGUCAUUGUCUUUAUGGUUGUUUCUCUAGCUGUCAUUGUCUUUAUGGUUUUCCGUUGUUUGCAAAACUUUCCUCCGCUCCGUUAGCUAACGUCUAGGUAUUUGUUGUGCCUGCUAGUUAGCCUGCCUGCUAGCGGGAGUUAAAGCGGACCACUCAGGAUUUUGCCUCCCUGGAAAUCUAUUCUAUAUUUUGGUAGCAGUAACAGGCUAUCCACAGCUUGCUAAUACAAGCAGGAGCACCUGCAUUGUAUUUCGACUUGUGAAGGUUUUUA